ACUUUUCCAUGAUGUUUGUAUACCUACAUUGUUUGAAGUGCUUUGUGAUAACAAAACGAAAUCUCUGAGAGGAGU